UGCGGAGGGGGCGAGCGUUAUUCGGAAUUAUUGGGCGUAAAGGGCGCGUAGGCGGCUAGAUGUGUCAAAGGUGAAAUCCCUCGGCUCAACUGAGGAACUGCCUUUGAAACUGUCUGGCUUGAGGCCGGGAGAGGGUAGCGGAAUUCCCAGUGUAGCGGUGAAAUGCGUAGAUAUUGGGAGGAACACCAGUGGCGAAGGCGGCUACCUGGACCGGUUCUGACGCUGAGGCGCGAAAGCGUGGGUAGCAAACAGG
rnacentral:rRNA from 1 species